rnacentral:rRNA from 1 species
AACGAACGCUGGCGGCAUGCCUAACACAUGCAAGUCGAACGAGGCCUUCGGGUCUAGUGGCGCACGGGUGCGUAACGCGUGGGAGCCUGCCCUUAGGUUCGGAAUAACUCCCCGAAAGGGGUGCUAAUACCGGAUAAUGUCUUCGGACCAAAGAUUUAUCGCCUUUGGAUGGGCCCGCGUUGGAUUAGCUAGUUGGUAGGGUAAAAGCCUACCAAGGCGACGAUCCAUAGCUGGUCUGAGAGGAUGAUCAGCCACACUGGGACUGAGACACGGCCCAGACUCCUACGGGAAGCAGCAGUGGGGAAUAUUGGACCAUGGGCGAAAGCCUGAUCCAGCAAUGCCGCGUGAGUGAUGAAGGCCUUAGGGUUGUAAAGCUCUUUUACCCGGGAUGAUAAUGACAGUACCGGGAGAAUAAGCUCCGGCUAACUCCGUG